rnacentral:rRNA from 1 species
UACGGGGGGAGCAAGCGUUGUUCGGAUUUAUUGGGCGUAAAGGGCGCGUAGGCGGUCAGCACAAGUCAGUUGUGAAAUCUCCGGGCUUAACUCGGAAAGGUCAACUGAUACUGUGCGACUAGAGUGCAGAAGGGGCAACUGGAAUUCCACGUGUAGCAGUGAAAUGCGUAGAUAUGUGGAGGAAUACCGAUGGCGAAGGCAGCCCCCUGGGAUAACACUGACGCUCAUGCACGAAAGCGUGGGGAGCAAACAGG